GACGAACGCUGGCGGCGCGCUUAACACAUGCAAGUCGAGCGAUGAAACUUUAACAGAACCCUUCGGGGCGAAGAUAAAGUGGAUUAGCGGCGGACGGGUGAGUAACACGUGAGUAACCUGCCUUAGACAUUGGGAUAGCCUCGGGAAACCGGGAUUAAUACCAAAUAAAAUCAUAAUGACACAUGUCAUAACGAUCAAAACUCCGGUGGUCUAAGAUGGACUCGCGUCCCAUUAGCUAGUUGGUAGAGUAAAAGCCUACCAAGGCGACGAUGGGUAGCCGGCCUGAGAGGGUGAACGGCCACAUUGGAACUGAGAAACGGUCCAAACUCCUACGGGAGGCAGCAGUGGGGAAUAUUGCACAAUGGAGGGAACUCUGAUGCAGCGACGCCGCGUGAACGAAGAAGGCUUUCGAGUCGUAAAGUUCUUUUAUAUGGGAAGAUAAUGACGGUACCUUAAGAAAAAGCCCCGGCUAACUACGUG
rnacentral:rRNA from 1 species